rnacentral:lncRNA from 1 species
GAGCAGCCUCAGGUAGCCGUUCCUCCAUGCAGUUCUUAGCUGGUUGAGCUACUGAUAGUGUCCAAAGAUCUGAAAGAUUCUCUGAUUUUGUUACUUUAGAACCUAGAGGAUUAUCUCGAAGACAAGAAGGGAAUUUUUUUCUCUCUCACACACGCACACACAUUUAAAAAUGUACCAGGGGAGGGGAGAAGGUGCAAGGGUUUCAGUAUCGUUCAGACAAGAAGAUUUUUAAUCAAAAUUUACAAAAUUCUUAUAGCUACUGAAUUAAGUGUGAAGGAAACAGAAUUGUAUAUGAAUAACACCAACAAAUCCUUUACAGGAGUUGCUGCCAAUCAUGGGAGAGCACAUUCUGGAAGCUUUGAGUGACCCCUUACCCCUUUAGGAAUGAGGACUCAUUCUCAGUGGGGGACCAUGCCAGCGCAGUGCUCAGCUUAGAGUGAGCAGUAGGAAGAGCACAGGAGCUGGAGUCACCCAAAAUUCCAGUUCCACUCCCUAAAGUGUUGGCCUGAGACUAAACUUCCCUGCCUACAGAAUGCCAGCCGCACCUGCUCUCCUCCCUCACAGGGUUCAAGUUAGGCUCAAGUGAGAUUAUAUUUGGAGGGACUUGAAAAAUCCAUGACAGUGUUAAAUAUGACUUUCCUGCAUUUGAAGAUAGGAGAACUGAAAUGAAAUAAUAGUCAAAAUAAAAAUUUCUCUUUCCCACUAAAUGCAAGCAUGGGGCGGGGUUGGAUUUGAAUACUCAGUUUUGACUGUAAUACUUCUUGGAAUAAUGUUAGUUUUGUUGUUAUUUUAUAAUACGAAUUGAUCCUAGGGAAGUUUGGGGUUCUUCUACGAUCUUAAGUGCAUUUUUGUAUGAAGCCAUUGGCUUUUAAAAUGUGAUUGAUUUUUGUUAAUGGAAAUUUCAAUUGUAGAGAUGUUACUUCUGUCUAUAAAAUUUCUGAAUAAACUUUUCUCAUGAUAUUUAAAACCAUGAAUCUGCUAAUAAUAGGCUUUAGAUAUAGGUUGUUUGUAGUUGGUUGGACUUGGCAGAGAAUUUUUUUAAAAAAAC